GAGAGGUGAUAAUAGGAGCAAGCAGCAAUGCUUGUUGCAUGGGCAUUUCUGCUGCACCAAUGAUGACUAUUCCUUCCCAAUCAAAACAAAAUUUCAAGUGCAUUACACAGUAAUAAAUGACAAAAAAUGUCCUAAAAAUCCAAAAGUCAUUCACACAAAGACAUUUUUUUAAAACUUAAAGACUAGUUGAGGGUGACUACACCCACCUAAAUGCAAGGCACUCCAAAUUGUGUCACAGGAAGUGCAGUUUUAAUGUACUCAGCAGUCUGACCUAUCGACCUAAGUUGCUGACUGGAUUAUCGACAAGUCUUCAAGAAGAACACAAUGUGAAGAUGAUUGUGUUUUGGAUUGCACUGAAUUUUCUUCAUCACGGAUAUGCACUGGUUUCACAAAUCACUGUUCAAGUUGGAGAACCUGCAACCUUCAUCUGUAGUCUACCUCACACAGAGGUCCUCCCUCGACAAGUCCACUGGUAUAAACAGAGUGCCGGGGAUACACUGAAAGUAAUUGUGACUGUGCGGAAAUCUAAACCACCUGAGUAUGCACAAGAUUUUCCUAAAUCCAGAUGGGCGAUAAACAGCAACAGCAGUUUUAGUAACCUGACCAUUUUGAGGACAGUUCGAGAGGAUGAGGGAAUGUAUCACUGUGGAGUCUCCGAGUGGCUUGCAGACAUUAUAUGGACUGGGAUGCAUUUAUUAAUAAAAGGAAAAAAUCAGAGCACAUCCAACUCUUCUGUUGCUCAGAGUUCAACAGUAUCAUCUGGAACUAAGCCAGAUAUUCAUGGAAGCAGCAUAUGGUCACACAGAUCCAGUGCAGUUAUUUUUAUGCUGUGUGGUGUCUUGGCUAUAAGCCUGAUUGUUAUAGCUAUCCUUAUUGUUGCAAUGAAGAAAGAUGACACACAAUAUUGCAAAGGUGUUGUUCCCCUGCGAAAAAAGACUGGUAUCCAGAAAACUCAACAGAAAGCAGAGGAUGUGUGGUUUUACUCUGCAGCAGUCUUUGCCAUGAUGAGAACUGACAGAGGUGCGACAACAAAUGCAGCUGAGAGGGAGAGACUCUACACUGCUGUCAAGGCCUUUGGGUUGGAUUAAUGACUUAAGAGCCUUUUGGAUCCACUGAAUAAUUUAGGUGUUAUGUGUUUAGAGUUAAAGUGUUUCUUUUAUGUCACAGUACAGUACACCUAAUAUUAGGUAUAUUAGAUAUCAUUAUAAGCGUAAAAAAUGUAUUUCAGUUAAACUUCUGUUUAAGCAUGAACUUCUUCUACAUCUGUAUACAUGCAUGCAACCUUUUCAGUCUGGCUAGGGACAUUACUCUUUUCUGAAUUAAGUCUCAGGCUUACUUUCACAAAAGCAAAAGGCUGAGUUAUACAGUACUAUGUAAGGAAAACUACUGUAGUCAAACAUAAAGACCUAAGUAGGGAUACACUUGUAAUGAAGUAGAGGAACACCUUUUCAGAGACGUUUUCUUGUAAUAUCAUAAUAUGUAAAUAAAUAAAACACUUUCUAGUACCAAACUGUUGCUUUUGGUGUGAUUUGUAGCACUUUUAUUUCACUAUAAGAAGGUACUUUGGUUUCCUCUUAAAGCACUAUUAGGGCACAACUAACACUACAACACCAGUAUUCACUGUGCUUGGCAGACUGCCAAGCAGGUGGUCAACACAACAUUUAAAGAUCAAUUAAACUGAAGCACACACGAUGUUCAAUGUGAGCAGCAUAUGUUUACUGUGGUUAUAAGAAUGACGAACUUACAAAUGCAGCGCACUAAAAACAUUUGCUUCUUGCCUUAUUUUUUUUUGUUUUGUUCUCUUUAUUUCUUUUCUUUCUCAAAAUAGUGAUCCAACCUGUUUGUUUUUUUUGUU
ensembl:lncRNA